rnacentral:rRNA from 1 species
AUUGCUCAGUAACACGUGGACAACCUGCCCUUAGGUUGGGUAUAACCCGGGAAACUGGGUAUAAUACCCGAUAGGUCUCGAUUGCUGGAAUGCAUCGAGAUUUAAAGCUCCGGCGCCUAAGGAUGGGUCUGCGGCCUAUCAGAUAGUAGUGGGUGUAGCGUACCUACUAGCCUACGACGGGUACGGGUUGUGAGAGCAAGAGCCCGGAGAUGGAUUCUGAGACACGAAUCCAGGCCCUACGGGGUGCAGCAGGCGCGAAAACUUUACAAUGCUGGCAACAGCGAUAAGGGAACCUCGAGUGCCAGGUUACAAAUCUGGCUGUCGAGAUGCCUAAAAAGCAUUUCAUAGCAAGGGCCGGGCAAGACCGGUGCCAGCCGCCGCGGUAACACCGGCGGCUCGAGUGGUAACCGUUAUUAUUGGGUCUAAAGGGUCUGUAGCCGGCCGGAUAAGUCUCUUGAGAAAUCUGGCAGCUUAACUGUCAGGCUUUCAGGAGAUACUGUCUGGCUCGAGGCCGGGAGAGGUGAGAGGUACUUCAGGGGUAGGGGUGAAAUCUUGUAAUCCUUGAAGGACCACCAGUGGCGAAGGCGUCUCACCAGAACGGACCUGACGGCAAGGGACGAAAGCUAGGGGCACGAACCGGAUUAGAUACCCGGGUAGUCCUAGCCGUAAACGAUACUCGCUAGGUGUCGGCCACGGUGCGACCGUUGUCGGUGCCGUAGGGAAGCCGUGAAGCGAGCCACCUGGGAAGUACGGCCGCAAGGCUGAAACUUAAAGGAAUUGGCGGGGGAGCAC